rnacentral:misc_RNA from 1 species
AAGGAAAAGAAAAGAAAAAGAAAAAGGAAAAUCUUGAAUUUAAUCUUUAUAAAAGGUAAAGUAGAUAAUGGUUCAUUACUUGGUUCUUGCCCUUUUUGACCUUUAACAAUUGCUUUAAUGGCCAGCUGGCUUGAGCUACAGAACCAGAACCAAAUUCUGAAAUUUCUGAGAAUCACAGAAUCGAAUUUCUCUCAUAUUCAGAAUUCUGAUUCUACCCGCUGUUUUUGAAAUGGGAUUUUCUUUAUUUUUUCAAAAAAUUAGCCUUAGCCUUAGCCACACGGCUCAUACUCUGGAUUGACACAGUUUCCCAGUAACCAAACAAAAUUUAGAAAGAAACACUGAAAUGGUCCACCCAUAGAAUUGAGAAAACCCCUUUUCAAUACCCCUCCUAAUAAUUUAAUUGCACUCAUACUUUUCCUUAUCUCCAAAAUUUUUCCAGGAAAAUAAAGAAAAACAUUAGU